rnacentral:rRNA from 1 species
CCUACGGGUGGCAGCAGUGGGGAAUAUUGGACAAUGGGCGAAAGCCUGAUCCAGCCAUGCCGCGUGUGUGAAGAAGGCCUUCGGGUUGUAAAGCACUUUCAGUGGGGAAGAAAGCCUUGGGGCUAAUACCCUCGAGGAAGGACAUCACCCACAGAAGAAGCACCGGCUAACUCCGUGCCAGCAGCCGCGGUAAUACGGAGGGUGCGAGCGUUAAUCGGAAUUACUGGGCGUAAAGCGCGCGUAGGCGGUCUGAUAAGCCGGUUGUGAAAGCCCCGGGCUCAACCUGGGAACGGCAUCCGGAAAGGGCCGGGUAGAGUGCAGGAGAGGAAGGUAGAAUUCCCGGUGUAGCGGUGAAAUGCGUAGAGAUCGGGAGGAAAACCAGUGGCGAAGGCGGCCUUCUGGACUGACACUGACGCUGAGGUGCGAAAGCGUGGGUAGCAAACAGGAUUAGAUACCCGAGUAGUC